CAAUAGCGUAUAUUUAAGUUGUUGCAGUUAAAAAGCUCGCAGUUGGAUUUCGGAUGGGAUUUGCCGGUCCGUCGUUACGAUGUGCACUGGCCAGUCCUAUCUUGUUGUCGGGGACUAGCUCCUUGGAUUCACUUCCUGGGACUAGGAGCUGACGAGGUUACUUUGAGUAAAUUUGAGUGUUCAAAGCAAGCCUACGCUCUGAAUACAUUAGCAUGGAAUAACACGAUAGGACUCUGGCUUAUCUUGUUGGUCUGUGAGACCAGAGUAAUGAUUAAGAGGGACAGUCGGGGACAUUCGUAUUUCAUUGUCAGAGGUGAAAUUCUUGGAUUUAUGAAAGACGAACUUCUGCGAAAGCAUUUGUCAAGGAUGUUUUCAUUA
rnacentral:rRNA from 1 species